rnacentral:rRNA from 1 species
UAGUUGCCAGCACAUAAUGGUGGGGACUCUAGGAAGACUGCCUGCGCAAGCAGAGAGGAAGGAGGGGACGACGUCAAGUCAUCAUGGCCCUUACGGCCUGGGCUACACACGUGCUACAAUGGUCGGUACAGAGGGUUGCCAAGCCGCGAGGUGGAGCUAAUCCCACAAAGCCGAUCGUAGUCCGGAUUGGAGUCUGCAACUCGACUCCAUGAAGUCGGAAUCGCUAGUAAUCGCAUAUCAGAAUGAUGCGGUGAAUACGUUCCCGGGCCUUGUACACACCGCCCGUCACACCAUGGGAGUGGGUUGCAAAAGAAGUGGGUAGCAUAACCUUCGGGAGUGCGCUCACCACUUUGUGAUUCAUGACUGGGGUGAAGUCGUAACAAGGUAGCCGUAGGG